CUAGGGUUCAGUACAUGAGAAUCAGAAGAUAAACGAAGAAAUCUGAGUUUCUCCAAAAUUAUUCCUUCUCGUUCGUCACCAUCUCUAGCAUUUCAAGUUCAUCUUCCGAAUCAAGCCUCCUUCACAAUCAUCUUCAGAAGAAUCAGUAGAUAGGGAAUUGUUCAUCAUCGACAAGUAUUCUUUCUCAUUUGAUUCGUCGUCAGAAGCAAUCCUUGACAUCCGUCAUCUUCAAAAUCAUUACAUACAGUGUCACUCAUGUGAGAUGGAUGGCGGGGGUGGAGAUCCGCCGCCGAAUGGUAUUACAGCAGUUUGUUUAAAUUUCUUUCGUAAUUUGGGGCCCGUGUUGACUCAGUUCUGGAACCAGUAUGGUGACGUAAUCUGGACUUGGGUAUUGCAAAUACUAUUCUUAAGUGUUUUCCUCAGUGGGCUUGGUGAGAUGAGUCUGCUGAUGCUUAAUGAGAAAAGUGGCUAUCUCGAUCUUGUAUGGCUAGCUAUAUUUGUUGGUAUUUCGGGUUGUGCAUUUACUCUUUCAAGAUA